rnacentral:rRNA from 1 species
UACGGAGGGGGCGAGCGUUAUUCGGAAUCAUUGGGCGUAAAGGGCGCGUAGGCGGCCCCGUAAGUCUUGGGUGAAAGCCCUCGGCUCAACCGAGGAAUUGCCUUGGAUACUGCGGGGCUCGAGGCUGGAAGAGGGCAGUGGAAUUCCCGGUGUAGCGGUGAAAUGCAUAGAUAUCGGGAGGAACACCAGUGGCGAAGGCGGCUGCCUGGGCCAGUUCUGACGCUGAGGCGCGAAAGCGUGGGGAGCAAACAGG